AGCAGCAUGACCUAGUGGUAAGAGUACAGGUCUGGAAGUCAGAGGACCUGGGUUCUAAUCCCAGUUCUGCCA
rnacentral:tRNA from 1 species